GGGGAUGUAGCUCAAUUGGCUAGAGCACCUGCCUUGCACGCAGGGGGUUAGGGGUUCAAGUCCCCUCAUCUCCA
rnacentral:tRNA from 1 species